rnacentral:miRNA from 1 species
AGUUAAACUGAAAUUUGAUCUAAACAAUGACUUUUUUUUUACUAUCACUGUGUCUGAUGGAAUUGUUGGGACAUAAUUAUACUAAAAUAUCAGUUAUUGUUUGUCUGAAACUCCAAUUUAACU